GAAUUUCUUUCCGCAUCUUUCUCUUUGAAUUCAUUUGUUUGAAUAAUCAAAAAUAAUAUAGUAGUCUACAUCAGUGGUUACAUUGUAUGCAGUCAAACUAGGUGGAGGGCAGUAGAACAGAAAACAAUCUCCAUUGUGUAUAUAUGCAGUAACUCAUAUAUUGAAGCGUAAAACAACAGCAGUCAAGCUCGUUUUUCGGCUCUCUUCGUUUAUUCUCAAGCUUUUGUCUUACUGAUCUGCUUUUUUUUUUAAAUAAAGCUGUUUUUUUUUUUAUCUUCAUCUGCAAAAGGCGCAACAGAUGUGUUAAAAUCAGCCAUGUGACUUAUUGAAGAUUCAUGUUGUCGUUUAGAGAUUUUAUUCGAAGUUCGUAUAUCCCUUCAACCAUUUAUUUAAUUGGUUUUUCAACGUAUAGACAGCGCGAAACUAAGUGCACUAUGCAUCGGA
rnacentral:lncRNA from 1 species